UACGUAGGUCCCGAGCGUUGUCCGGAUCUAUUGGGCGUAAGGCGAGCGCAGGUGGUUUAUUAAGUCUGGUGUAAAAGGCAGUGGCUCAACCAUUGUAUGCAUUGGAAACUGGUAGACUUGAGUGCAGGAGAGGAGAGUGGAAUUCCAUGUGUAGCGGUGAAAUGCGUAGAUAUAUGGAGGAACACCGGUGGCGAAAGCGGCUCUCUGGCCUGUAACUGACACUGAGGUUCGAAAGCGUGGGGAGCAAACAGG
rnacentral:rRNA from 1 species